GACGAACGCUGGCGGCGUGCCUAAUACAUGCAAGUAGAACGCUGAAGGAGGAGCUUGCUUCUCUGGAUGAGUUGCGAACGGGUGAGUAACGCGUAGGUAACCUGCCUGGUAGCGGGGGAUAACUAUUGGAAACGAUAGCUAAUACCGCAUAAGAGUAGAUGUUGCAUGACAUUUGCUUAAAAGGUGCAAUUGCAUCACUACCAGAUGGACCUGCGUUGUAUUAGCUAGUUGGUGAGGUAACGGCUCACCAAGGCGACGAUACAUAGCCGACCUGAGAGGGUGAUCGGCCACACUGGGACUGAGACACGGCCCAGACUCCUACGGGAGGCAGCAGUAGGGAAUCUUCGGCAAUGGACGGAAGGCUGACCGAGCAACGCCGCGUGAGUGAAGAAGGUUUUCGGAUCGUAAAGCUCUGUUGUAAGAGAAGAACGAGUGUGAGAGUGGAAAGUUCACACUGUGACGGUAUCUUACCAGAAAGAGACGGCUAACUACGUG
rnacentral:rRNA from 1 species